UCAAGAUAUUCUUUUCCUGAAGAGUAGCCGACAGUAAGCACCUCACUUGGAUUUUACCGCUUCUGAGGUUCCAAUCGCUGUGAAAUAUAUAUAGCCCGGAUUUU